GGCUUCUGUUUGGCAAUAUUUGGUUUUGAAAACCGAUUAAGGACGUUCGAAUCGUUCAGGGGCUU
rnacentral:tRNA from 1 species